AUACGGAGGGUGCAAGCGUUACUCGGAAUCACUGGGCGUAAAGCGCGCGCAGGCGGCCCGAUAAGUUGGAUGUGAAAGCCUACGGCUCAACCGUAGAACUGCAUCCAAAACUGUCGGGCUAGAGUCUGGGAGGGGAAGAUGGAAUUAGUUGUGUAGGGGUAAAAUCCGUAGAGAUAACUAGGAAUACCGAAAGCGAAGGCGAUCUCCUGGAACAUAACUGACGCUAAGGCGUGAAAGCGUGGGGAGCAAACAGGAUUAGAAACCCCUGUAGUCC
rnacentral:rRNA from 1 species